GCACCUGCACCAAGGAGAGAAGCCGUUCGGAUGUGAUCAAUGUGGGAAGACUUUCACUCAGAAGCGUCAGCUGAAGAGUCACCACAGAGUUCACACAGGCAAGUCUCUACCAGAGUGCGCUCAGUGCCAUCACACCUUCAUGGACACGGCUCAGCUGAAGAAGCACCUGAGAACUCACACAGGUACAUCAGAUAUAUGAAUAUCAUUGUUCUGUGGAGGUGAGGUCUGAUGAUGAUGAUGAUGAUGAUGAUGAUGAUGUUCAGGUGAGACCUGGGGGGUAUACUACGAAGCAGGAUGUUCUCUUAGCGGCUAACUUCAGGUAAACUCUGGGUUUCCGGUCCUACGAAGCUGGUUCUCUUUUUAGCAGGCUAGAUCUCCAUGGUAACUGAUGCUGAGC